CUCUUCUAUUCCCCCGAUCUGCGAUUAGAGCUCCUCCUAGCAUCUCUGAUCUGCAACCAACCGGCGACUACCUCUGCCUCCGCCUCCAUCAUCGCCUCCACCAUCGUCGUCGGAAGCAAAACCCUCCGGCUCCUCCAAAGCCGUCGACGCAACAUACUUCUCCCUCCUGCUGCCUGUCCGACCUGCAACCCACCAACGACAACCAGCAUCGCCUCAGUCUCUUGUCGUCACCACCAUUGUCGAAGUUGUUGCUGUAGCUGGUGGACCUUACCAUUGAAUCCGAUUUCAGCUUUUUUUCACUCAAGUUUUGCUACUUUGGGUGAUUUUAAUUGGAUUAAUCUUUGCACUUGUGAUUCAAUCUCUUGCUGCAAAUUUAGGAGUAUGCACGGGGAAGCAUCUAUCAGAAGUAUGCAAGGCUGAAUACCCAAUAUUUGUGAAGUAUUGCCUAUGGUUGCUUGCUGAGAUUGCAGUCAUUGCAGCGGAUAUUCCCGAAGGUAAAAUUUUAACUUAUCUAUGAUGAGGUGAACCACACUGAAAGAAGUAUAAAACAACCAUUAUAUCAUCAUCAUCCAUUUGACACAUGUCAUCAUCAUAUCUACUUGAACCCCAUCCAGAAAAUUUCUCAGGGUUGCUUCAUGGAUGUUGGAAUUUGAUUGCUAGGUGUUCCCUAAAGCCAGUUUGAAAACACCAAAUCAGAGUCUAGGACACUGAUACUUGGAGAAAUAUAUCCGAGAGCGGAAAGAGAAAUCGUAACAGUAGUGUUAAUGGUUCCAUCUCGGUACAUACAGGUGGAUCAAUUACAACAGAACAACACCGCAAGAAGAUGAAGAAGGCAAGGGGGAAGAUCCUUUGUGGGUAGUAACAAUUUUUAUGUAUUUAAUUAUUUUUCAAGUGUUUAGAGUAGUAACAAUUUUUAUGUUUUGGCAAAUUGUAGGACAAAUAUGAGAAGCAAUGUGUGAGAAAUAUGGCCCCGUCCCUAUUCAACAUCCGUUGGGUCAUCAGAUCCGGACAUCGUUGUGUCGGGGACACCUUAUGAGUAUGGCUCAUCAUCCCAUGAUUAUGCCUUAUAUCAAAGAAGGCAUGUGUCUAUAUUAUGAUAAAAUUGUAAAGUAUGUUGCUAUUUCCUUAUUUAUUUUAUACUAAUUAUAUGUUUGUUGGACCAUA